rnacentral:misc_RNA from 1 species
CCUAGAGUUGUAGGCUUUGCCUGCUAUCUCUUACCCAUGUCUUUUGAGUACCUUACGUUUCCUCGGUGGGUUCGCCCACCGAUUGGACAAACUUAAGCCCUUUGCAGUUGAAAUCAGCGUCUGAAAAAACUUAAUAGUUA